rnacentral:rRNA from 1 species
GGUAAUACGUAGGUCCCGAGCGUUGUCCGGAUUUAUUGGGCGUAAAGCGAGCGCAGGCGGUUUGAUAAGUCUGAAGUUAAAGGCUGUGGCUCAACCAUAGUUCGCUUUGGAAACUGUCAAACUUGAGUGCAGAAGGGGAGAGUGGAAUUCCAUGUGUAGCGGUGAAAUGCGUAGAUAUAUGGAGGAACACCGGUGGCGAAAGCGGCUCUCUGGUCUGUAACUGACGCUGAGGCUCAAAAGCGUGGGGAGCGAACAGGAUUAGAUACCCUGGUAGUCCACGCCGUAAACGAUGAGUGCUAGGUGUUGGAUCCUUUCCGGGAUUCAGUGCCGCAGCUAACGCAUUAAGCACUCCGCCUGGGGAGUACGACCGCAAGGUUGAAACUCAAAGGAAUUGACGGGGGCCCGCACAAGCGGUGGAGCAUGUGGUUUAAUUCGAAGGUCGACGCGGCCG